CUCAGUUCUGAUGGUAUAGAUAAAUCUGACAAAGGACCGAAGGAUACCAUGUGUUACUCUCAAGAGUUUCUAAAUAGCAUCAAGAUCUCUGGAUUGCCAAACCACUCUUUGAAGUUAAAGGUUGGUGCAAUAAUUAUGCUACUUAGGAACAUUGAUCCUCAAGGUGGUUUAUGUAAUGGUACAAGGCUGCAAAUUACUCAGUUGGCUGAUCAUGUUAUUGAGGCUAGAAUGAUAACGGGUAAUAGGACUGACAGAGAAGGUGGUGAAAGGGUCUUAAUACCAAGGAUGUUUGUAUCUCCGCCAGAAACGAGAUUCCCUUUCAGGAUGCGUCGUAGACAAUUCCCAGUUGCGGUUGCUUUGGCAAUGACCAUAAAUAAAAGUCAAGGUCAAACACUAGAAAAAGUUGGGUUGUAUCUUCCAAGACCAGUUUUUACUCAUGGACAGUUGUAUGUUGCUGUUUCAAGAGUAAAGUCAAGAUCAGGACUGAAAAUUCUUAUCACGGAUAAACACGGUAAGCCUCAAAAAAAAACCAUGAAUGUCGUGUACAAGGAGAUCUUUCAAAACAUUGACUAAGUUUUAGUUUUUUUUUUCAAGGCGUAUGGUCACUUUUUUGGUUAAUACAUUGGUUUUUUUUUAUAUUUUAGCAACUGAACGUGGUAUUAAUGAUCAUUAUAGUAUUUGAGGCUACUUUGCAUUCUGGAAACUGUGAUAAUUUGAGAAUGAACUUGAUUUAACAGAGCAUGGGUAAUAAAAAAAGAUCGAUUAACGUUUCAACCUGCAUCCAAUGCACAUCUCACCGUUGCAUCCAAUGCACAUCAUCAACUCUAUGGACAUCACUCAUAUGAUCAAACAUUGAAUUAUUUUAAAAAUAUUUAACAGAGCAUAUCAGACAGAUCACCCUGUCAGAAUAAUAGAAUUUUUAAUCAGGAAACAAUUCAGUCAAAAAGUGGAUUAUACUUCCCUAAAGUUUUAAUGGAAACCAAACCUGUACAGCAACACGGUAAAAGACCUCUUCUCCUAUCGAACUGGCUGCCACAAUGAGUAUGAACUGGAGAACACACGAACAAACAUAAUGAAAACUCAAAUGACUCAAAAAUAUUUGAAAACGUAGUAAAAAAAGCUCACCUGCCAUGGAGACAUUCCAAAGAAAAAGCUUCUUAGUUCCUCAUCUUCGACAUCUCUAAUAGCCAUCGCUUGCGGUGAAAGUUUCACAACUUCAUCCUAAUAUCCAGACAAACAGGAUUCUUUAAAACCAAUUCAAACAAACACUAGAGUAAUCAUAAAAGGGUUAAUGCUCAACGGUAGUGGAGUUAGCAAAGCCACGAUUAAGUGUAGUAACCUCCAUUACAGGACCGGCGAACUGUCUUGCUCCUCCUCCUCUGGUGCUGUCUGUUUUCUCCAUCAUUUCGCUGCUUCGUCCAGCUGAAGCUUUAACGCGUCGGGCAUUUUCACCACAGCUGAAACUUAUUCUCAAGAACCUUCUUCUCUCCAGCUUUAACGUCCACUAUAUACAUAAAAUAAUUCUACUUUCAUAACAAAAUUUAUAUAUGUUAUAAAUAAAUAAUAAUUUUACAUAUAAAAUUUAUAUAUGUUGGUUUGACAUCAGCGCGGGCAGAUCAUAAAAUUAAUAUUAAUAAUUAUGGUAUGCAUAAAUCAAUUACACGUGCUCAUAAUGAUUCAUAUUCCAAUUUAUAUUUCGAAUUAAAUAUGUAAAAGUCACCUCUUAUUCCAAUUCGGUGUGCACAUUUAGCUAUGGUAACUCUUAUUUAUUACCAUAUUUAGUUAUGGUAACUCUUACAAUUACGUGUCACGCAUGUCAUGUCGGUGACUUCGUGACUUCAAUAUUUCUUAGAGAUGUAAAUUUUACUUUUUCACUCAAUUGUUUUGUGUAUUUCCCAUUAAUAGAUAAAUACAAAAGGAAAGAAAUAACUAUGGAGAAUAUAUAAUUCUCACGUGAAUUUGAUAUGCUACAUAUAUAUAUAUGAUAGCUUUAUAAUUUACUACCAUAUUAAAAUUGCUCUCAAGUUUUACAAAGUUUGUUGCAAUGUCGAUUAUAUCUAAGAAAAAUAAUUCCUUUGUUCUUGUGAAAAACAUGGAUUCCGAUGAUGAAACACAAAAAAUCAAAGUGAAGGUGCUGGUACUCUGGAAGGCCUACAAAAGUUCUGGAAACAUGGUGUUGAUUGAUGAAGAGGUUUGUUCUUAAUCCCAAAAAAACACGUCAAUAUUUAUAAUAUGUUUAUAUGAUUAUACAAAUUCAUUCAUGUUGUCUUAAAAGACCUUUUAGUUAUCAUUGUUAUUUUUAUGUUUAUAGGGAUCAAAGAUUCAUGCUCAAGUUGAAGAAGACUUGAUGAAGAAACACCUAACUGUUCUGAAAGAAGGUGAAGCUGUGAGCAUCAAUACUUUCCAGUUGAAGGACUAUCUUGGAGAAUUUAGGACCAAUCCUUAUCCUUAUAAGAUUACAUUCUUCAGAACAACUAAGGUCAAAGCAGCUGAUGAUUUUCUCGAGUAUUAUCCAGAAAAAUAUUUUUCAAACUUUGAAGAGAUAUUAUCCGGAAAGCUAGACAAAAACAUUUUGGUCGAUGUGAUUGGUCAAAUUGUGAAUAUUGGACCAAUGGAGCAGAUAAAAACAAAGGGGAAGGAUAACUCAAAGCUUGACAAUAUUCUACGAGAUACAAUAUACAUAUCAGCAUGUGAAGCUACUUGGAGAACUCUUGCUUUUCCUACUCAUUAUCGGACUACAUCAGUAGAAAAACUAUCAUUCCAUCUCCCACGUCAACAACUGGUUGUUUACAAUGAAGAUGACCCCGUUGAAGAAGUACUAACCCGAAUUUCUGUCGGGAAGUCCAAGUUUGUAGCCUGGAUGGAGGCCAAUAAGAUAUAUCCAGAAUCAAAAAAUCUCACUUAUGCAGACUUCCCAUCGUACUUUGUCUGGCAUCUAAAACCAGAAUGUGGAAACCAAGGCGGAGGGGUUUUGCAAUCGGAAGGAUCACUUAUGUGCCACCAUCUUUAGGUGAAGUGUAUUAUUUAAGGGUUUUGCUAAAAAUAGUCGAAGGUCCAACAAGCUUUGAAGAGAUAAAAACAGUAGACGGCUGUUAUCUUCCACAA